AUUGAACGCUGGCGGCAUGCCUUACACAUGCAAGUCGAACGGCAGCACGGGAGCAAUCCUGGUGGCGAGUGGCGAACGGGUGAGUAAAGUAUCGGAACGUGCCCAGUCGUGGGGGAUAACGUAGCGAAGUUACGCUAAUACCGCAUACGAUCUAUGGAUGAAAGCGGGGGAUCGCAAGACCUCGCGCGAUUGGAGCGGCCGAUAUCAGAUUAGGUAGUUGGUGGGGUAAAGGCUCACCAAGCCGACGAUCUGUAGCUGGUCUGAGAGGACGACCGGCAACACUGGGACUGAGACACGGCACAGACUCCUACGGGAGGCAGCAGUGGGGAAUUUUGGACAAUGGGCGCAAGCCUGAUCCAGCCAUGCCGCGUGCAGGAUGAAGGCCUUCGGGUUGUAAACUGCUUUUGUACGGAACGAAAAGGUCUCUCUUAAUACGGGGGACUCAUGACGGUACCGUAAGAAUAAGCACCGGCUAACUACGUGCCAGCCGCCGCCGUAA
rnacentral:rRNA from 1 species